UACGAAGGGGGCUAGCGUUGCUCGGAAUCACUGGGCGUAAAGCGCACGUAGGCGGCUUGUUAAGUCAGGGGUGAAAUCCUGGAGCUCAACUCCAGAACUGCCUUUGAUACUGGCGAGCUUGAGUCCGGGAGAGGUGAGUGGAACUGCGAGUGUAGAGGUGAAAAUUCGUAGAUAUUCGCAAGAACACCAGUGGCGAAGGCGGCUCACUGGCCCGGUACUGACGCUGAGGUGCGAAAAGCGUGGGGAGCAAACAGGGAUUAAGAAAACCCGGGUAGUCCC
rnacentral:rRNA from 1 species